AAUCCUUGACAUCCUCAGAACUUGUUAGAAAUAACUUGGUGCCUUCGGGAAUUGAGUGAC
rnacentral:rRNA from 1 species